AGAACUAGGUGUAGCCAAGGACAGACUUGCCGGCUAACUCUUUAAGCCUCAGCAAAGCAGAAAUGCUGAAUUCCAGGAGCCGGCAAGUCAUCCUUGGCUGCAUCCCGUUCUCU
rfam:Setaria italica strain Yugu1 chromosome VII, whole genome shotgun sequence.